ensembl:lncRNA LINC02128 long intergenic non-protein coding RNA 2128
AGGUGCUGGAGGCUGCCGCGCGGAGAGGUCCGCCCAGCCAGGAUGUGCGUUGUCCUGAGAAUCGAAUUACCCGGAACCCCAGAGCUCACCCUCUCUGAAGGAGAGCAGGUGCCUCCUGAGAGCAGGGCUUCUCUACCUUGGGGCACUAUGAACAUUCUGAGUGGGUGCCCACUUUGUUCAUCUCUGCUCACUGGGGGAGCCAGGACACGGAUCCAGGUUUUCUGACUCCAGGUAGGCACCCAAAUCAAGACUCAGAUUUCCUCAUCUCAGAAGUUGUCCACUUCUUCUCCGACCUCCACGGUAACUCGGAACCACACCGUGGAGUUAUCCCUGUGUCCUCUUUCUCGGAAGUUCCACAUCCAACCCCUCAGCAGGUCUCAGCGGCACUCUCACCACCUCCUCUGCUCUGUUCCUGUUUCUCUUGGAUGGUCGAAUGUUUCCUAAGGAGUGUCUGCUGCUUCACGCUUGCCCCCUGGAGUGGCAUCUAAAAGGUGCAGGAUACCCUACAACUAACAGGCAUGAUGCCAUCAAGACAUCUUGAGCCUGGCUACCUCCCGUGGCCUGUAUUUUGUCCACAGGAAACUCGCGCAGUCUCACUACAGCAAAUUGAGGUGGUAUGGGGUGCCUGCUGCUGCCUCUCUCUUCACCUUUCCACAGAGGGCUGCCCCAGCCUGACUCCCACUUCCAGAGUUUCUCCAGAUUAAGGCUGCUGAUAGGAGAGACAGAUGCAGAACUGGACCAUUAGGAAGAUGAUGACUUCCUAAUAUAUCAGAAGCCAGAGGGCUACAAUUAUCAUAAAGACUGGCAAGGUCAGAAGGGCUGCAAUGGUGGCUUGAACUGAGAGCAUGGAUAACAGAGCCUGGCGUCCUUAGAGGCAAAAUAUUUAGGCAGCCAAUAAGGCUGCUGCCUAACAUUUACAAACAGAA